UGCCUAUUUAUUGCCUCCUCCAAACCCUAUUUUUCUACAUAGAUAAACAGUGAUAUUCCAUUCUCCAUUCAUUCCUCUUCAGAACAAACUAAAUUUCAUCCCCUUUCACACUCCUGAAGCACCAGACAUGUAUCAACCACCAGGAUAUCCCUAUCCCCCUCAAGGUUCUUACCCAGGACUUCGAUCUCCUGUAAUGCCACCUCCAUAACAGCAUCAUUAUCCUCCUCCAGAAAUGCCACCUUCACAACAGCAUCAUUAUCAUCAUUAUCCUCCUCCAGUAAUGUCACCUCCAUAACAGCAUCCUUAUCCUCCUCCUCAACGCCAGGAAGAACCUAGUUUCCUUGACGGAAUGUACUCUCUCUCUCUCUGUUUAUUUUCUUUUCUUGUUUCAUUAAUGAAGAAUUUUACCUCAAUUUUGAUUUGGAUCUUAUGACAGUCUCGCUACUUUAUUUUGCUGUUGGCUAGCUAGUUGAUGCGUGUUGCGCCGACCCCCCAACAGCGAUUUCCCCAGCGGCCCCCCCAUCGGUGUCGUAUAUUAUCAUCGAACAAAUUAAUAUUUCCUGUCUGCACUAAUUAAUGUACUGAUGCAUUUUAAGAUAAUUGCAAGCAUUGUUAUUUUAAUUUUAAUUUCAAUUUCAUCAUCUUGAGUAGUUUAAAUGUUUAA